GUAACGCGUGAGAAUCUGCAUUCAGGUCGGGGAUAACAGUGGGAAACGACUGCUAAUACCGGAUGUGCCGAAAGGUGAAAGGCUUGCUGCCUGAAGAUGAGCUCGCGUCUGAUUAGCUAGUUGGUGUGGUAAGAGCGCACCAAGGCGACGAUCAGUAGCUGGUUGAGAGGAUGAUCAGCCACACUGGGACUGAGACACGGCCCAGACUCCUACGGGAGGCAGCAGUGGGGAAUUUUCCGCAAUGGGCGAAAGCCUGACGGAGCAAUACCGCGUGAGGGAGGAAGGCUCUUGGGUUGUAAACCUCUUUUUCAAGGAAUAAGUUCUGAAGGUACUUGAGGAAUCAGCAUCGGCUAACUCCGUGCCAGCAGCCGCGGUAAUACGGAGGAUGCAAGCGUUAUCCGGAAUGAUUGGGCGUAAAGCGUCCGCAGGUGGCCCUGUAAGUCUGCUGUUAAAGAGCAAAGCUUAACUUUGUAAAAGCAGUGGAAACUACAGAGCUAGAGUGCGUUCGGGGUAGAGGGAAUUCCUGGUGUAGCGGUGAAACCCGUAGAGAC
rnacentral:rRNA from 1 species